GGUCCCCCAGGCCCAGGACACGAAUGCUCCUGCUGUUCCUGCAGGCAGCUGACUUGCUCUGGAGUCAGGCAGCUCCCACACGUCUGCUGGGCAGGGACACAGCACCUGAGCUGGGGAGGCAGCUGCUUUUGGAAAGGGAAACGACCAAAGGUUGGCUGGGCAGCCCUGGAGAAGGGCAGGAUUGGCUCCUGUGAGAUUUUACCAGGGAUACAAACUUCACUCCCAGUUUCCCAGGGAUCCCACAGACACACCGAUGCUUUGGCUGUCCCUAAACCAGAACAUUCUCCGACUGGAUAACGAGGCAGCAUCAUGUUCCUGAUUCUGUCUCCAUGUGGAAACUCAGACUGCUGCAAACUUGCCACCUCCCUUGUGUAGAUGUUAAACUGCUGAAGCAAAACCCUUCUCUGCACAUCAUAUGUGGUGAUUCAGUUUAAAGCUCUUGCUUAAAAUAAAAGUAGAGGCCUUCUAUUAAAUCAGCCUAUCACACGCUGAAAAAUGUGGUGCAAUUUAUCACAUGACAUUGUUAGUCAAUUUAAAAUAAAAUGAGAUUCUUUUUUUUUCUGCUUUUUCUUUUCUACUGCUUUUUGGAUAGCUUUUGAUGCUUCAUUUCUGCCUGUUUUCCCUCCAGUCAAUACAUUUAAUGCUCAGAUUUAUUGAUUUUGUUUUGAUGCUUCUUUAAGACACGAACAUCUUUUUUUCAGAUAUAGAUCAUGCUUUUGAUUUGGAAAGUUGAAAGAUAUCUUUGAAUCACAGGUGUGACAGAAGUAUUACUGGGUGGAGGAACUAAGGUGCACACUGAAGGUUCUGUAAACGUGAUGGGUCAUGUCUGUCUGAGAGGGGAAUGCCGAAAUAAUUUGGAUCUUGUUGUGUGCUUUUUUUAAUGCCCUUCCCUCCCCAGCCUUACCCUUGUCUGCACUCUGUGUCCCAGGGCCUCGUGCAGCCCCAGCACCCCCAGAGUUAGUAAAAGCUGUGUUCUGUGGAGAGAGAACAGAUAGAAACCCGGGAAACAUGGGUUCCUCCAGAAAACUCCCCACUGGCACAAGGAAUUGGCUACAGGAAAAUGGACAGAGGGCUCCAUGUGGGAGGAUUCCUGUGCACAAGUUGAAGAACAAAAUGCUGGGGAAUCUCAGCAAGCAGGAGCUUGCUGGAAGGAGUGGAAGAAGGUCCUUGCACCCUUGAUCUUUCCUGACUGGUUAUA